rnacentral:rRNA from 1 species
UCAACGGAGAGUUUGAUCCUGGCUCAGAACGAACGCUGGCGGCGUGGAUAAGGCAUGCAAGUCGAACGCGAAAGUCACCUUCGGGUGAUGAGUAGAGUGGCAAACGGGUGAGUAACACGUGGGCAACCUUCCCUAAGGCGGGGGACAACAUCGGGAAACCGGUGCUAAUACCGCAUAAUAUCUUGAGUUCGCAUGUUCUCGAGAUCAAAGGUGGGGAUUCUUCGGAACCUGCCGCCUGAGGAUGGGCCCGCGCCUGAUUAGCUUGUUGGUGGGGUAACGGCCUACCAAGGCUCCGAUCAGUAGCCGACCUGAGAGGGUGACCGGCCACACUGGGAUUGAGAUACGGCCCAGACUCCUACGGGGGGCAGCAGUCUAGAAGCAUCGACAAUGGAGGAAACUCUGAUCGUGCGACGCCGCGUGCAGGACGAAGGUCUUCGGAUCGUAAACUGCUUUCGCUAGGGAUGAAAGGUUUGUGGGUUAACAGCCGACGGAUUUGACAGUACCUAGUAAAGAAGCUCCGGCUAAGUCCGUGCCAGCAGCCGCGGUAAUACGGGCGGAGCAAGCGUUGUUCGGAUUUAUUGGGUGUAAAGGGUGCGCAGGCGGUCGAUUAAGUCAGAAGUGAAAUGUCUACGGCUCAACCGAGACACUGCUCCUGAUACUGGUUGACUUGAGUGCGGAAGGGGAGCGUGGAAUUCCUGGUGUAGCGGUGAAAUGCGUAGAUAUCAGGAGGAACACCGGUGGCGAAGGCGACGCUCUGGUCCGUAACUGACGCUCAUGCACGAAAGCCAGGGGAGCGAACGGGAUUAGAUACCCCGGUAGUCCUGGCCGUAAACGUUGGGCACUAGGUGUGGGAGGUAUCGACCCCUUCCGUGCCGU